CUCAGAUGACGAGUCCAAAAUAGGACGAAAUGCGUAUCCUGGAU
rnacentral:hammerhead_ribozyme from 1 species